rnacentral:misc_RNA from 1 species
AAGUCGUAACAAGGUCUCCGUAGGUGAACCUGCGGAGGGAUCAUUCACAUGAUUUAUCUUUUAAACAAACCGUGAACUUUAAAUACUAUUCGUAUGUUUAAAUUUAUUUUUUCAUACUGUCAUUCGAUCUGAACAUAAAGAUAGUUGGCUUGUUUUUUAUUAAACUUUCUCAGCUUGAUUCAUUGUGAAACUAAACACUUCAUAAUAAUCACCAAUAAACAUAGAAACAACUCUAUGCCCUGGAUAUCUUGGUUCUC